rnacentral:rRNA from 1 species
UACGUAGGGUGCAGGCGUUAAUCGGAAUUACUGGGCGUAAAGCGUGUGUAGGCGGUCCUCUAAGUCGGGUGUGAAAGCCCAGGGCUCAACCCUGGAAGUGCACUCGAAACUGGAAGGCUAGAGUACCGGAGAGGUUGGUGGAAUUCUCGGUGUAGAGGUGAAAUUCGUAGAUAUCGAGAGGAACACCGGUGGCGAAGGCGGCCAACUGGACGAGUACUGACGCUGAGACACGAAAGCGUGGGGAGCAAACAGG